UUGCGACUCUCCCCAUUUUGGCAAAUAUUGGUGCAUAAGGGCUUUCAGCAGCACCCUCACCCACCCAGGCUGAGCAAGCAGGAUCAUAGGAGUCACCCUACUGAUGGCUGGUGAUACUGUCUGCUCCUGUGGGAAUAAGCUGCCCUGAGUGGGGAUGUGCAGCAAGACAAGCCACACUAACCCUUCAGCACAGCCUUAAAGGCUUCCCCCAUUUUCCUCGGCACAGAUGGGAGUGCUAUGGACACCAGUAAGAGGGCAUCCUCUGGGAAUCCGGUACUCAGCAUCAGGCUGGAGGAUGCAUGCACCUUUAUUAUGACCAGCCAUUAAUUAAUUUAUCCAUCUGCCAAAAAAAUUAAUUAAAACAGGUUUGAAGCUGACCAGCUCACAGUGCAAAGCAGCUGCCAGCCGAGACCAGUGGGGUUUCACAUCUGUUUGCCAAGUGGGAAAAAUAGCACAAUUUAUGGAAAAAUGGGAAGCCAGAGCAUCAUAUUGCUCAUGACUAUGAAAUCUCCACCUUGUGCUUGCAUGACACCGAGAUGUGGGGGGACACUGCUUUGGGGUGCAAAGCAAAGGAAUGAGGAGACCUACCCUGCAGGAGAGAAAACCAAAGUGUGGCAGUAAAAAAGGCUUUAUCAGAUUGCAGCAAACUACAGAGCAGUGUGCGAGCUGUGCACAGGGCUGGGGGCAGCAGCAGGGAGCAGCCGAGCAGGACACCACUCACUCUGGAAGGGUGCACUGGACUGCGCAGAGGAUUUUGGAGGUGACAGCCAGAAGGUCACCUCGGGGACUGGCCACUCACCACCUCCAGCCCGCGGGUCGCAACCCUCUCCUCUAUCCCGGUGCUGCUCAAUUCCCCCCGUUGGCAGCUCGGGGGUGCACCCGGGAGGCUUUGGGGACACGGCUGUCCCUGGAUGUGCCCCAGGGGGAGCGCAGGACCAAGGGCGGCUGCAGGGCGACAGCAGCGGCAGCAGGAGCUGAACACUGGGGACAAAGCAGCUGCCAGAGGGACAGCGGGGACAUAAACAACUUACAUCGAGCCGCGCAGGCUGCCCGGGCACACAU